GGAUGUGAGGCAACUCGGUUACAAGACCUACCACCCCGUUGAUCACCAGGCUUGAGUCGGAUGAUCUAGCUGGCUAGGAGGAUGUCCCCUUCCUGCCUUGGUGCUUCGUUUACACCUCCUGAAAAGCUGUGCUUUGUAGCAGAGGACAUCCUUCCUGGAAAAAGGAAGGGUGUUCUUGGGUCAAGAGUAACUGAGCAGCUGUUCUUUUCUGCUGGAAUCUGCAGACAAGCCCUGAAGAUGUAAUAAUAAGAAUGUUAGAAGUGAACAAGAAAAACGACCUGAAUGGAGCCAGGAAAGCAGUUAACAGGUGCUCAUU
rnacentral:snRNA from 1 species